rnacentral:rRNA from 1 species
GACGGAGGGUGCAUAGCGUUGUUCGGAAUUACUAGGGCGUAAGCGUGCGCAGGCGGUUGUGCAAGACAGAUGUGAAAUCCCCGGGCUUAACCUGGGAACUGCAUUUGUGACUGCACGGCUAGAGGUGUGUCAGAGGGGGGUAGAAGUUCCAACGUGUAGCAGUGAAAUGCGUAGAUAUGUGGAGGAUACCGAUGGCGAAGGCAGCCCCCUGGGAUAACACUGACGCGUCAU